rnacentral:piRNA from 1 species
CAAAGAAGGAACUCCGGACCUUG